rnacentral:miRNA from 10 species
AUAGUUUGUUUCUUUGUAUUAA